AUCAGAUUAACCGUAACUCGUUUACAUCUUUCAAACGUUGGGGCUUAAUUAGUCGAAGAACAAAAUGUUUGACUUUGCUCGAGUUAAUCCCCUAUUUUUUAGAGGGCUUACAUGUAAUUAAGUACCUAAAUCCAGUUAUGUACUUCGAGUUAAGCUCUCAACGGAAAUGGGUGUGUCAUGGGCGUGGUCAUGGCUUAACUCGAAAGGGCGUGGUUGGGA